UGAGGAUAAGGAACGUGGUGUUGCAGUUCAAACCAUUUCCAGCCAAAAUGGACUCUGGUCACAAACAAAUAGUCAUAACAAUCCAAACUGGUGGCUGAAUAGAGUUCUGAAGUUUUGAGAAAGAGGUGAUUCAGCUCAAAAGUUUUCUUUAGAAUCUACUUCCUAGUACCCACCAGCUUAGGUUGAGUUUCCCAGAAUCAGAUCUGUGUUGGAGAUUUGUGUGUAUGAUGUUUAUUGGGGAGCUUCCCCAGAAACAACACCUUUAAGUACAGGAAACAAUUGAACAGGGACAAAAAUCCUACAGUGAUAAAAUUAUAACAGAAGUCGUAGGUAAUCCUUUGGGGCUCUCUGGAGCUAAAACAGCUCUUCAAAAUUAUCUAUAAAUUGAUGCAAGAGGAACACAUCUUCAUACUUCACGUUAAACAGUCAUCGGGCACAGGCUACCAUAGGAGAAAGCUUGUAACCUUGGAUGAAGUAGGUUCCUUUGACAGAAAGCAAUUCCAGAAGAGAGAUGUACCUAUGAGAUAACAGUAGCCAGCACUCCCAGAAGCUCACAAGUGACUGCCUUUGUCCUGACAGUCAAAGGCACCUGAACAGUGCACUAUGCCAUCCAGUACAACCCGUUUCUACUUUUAUCUGUUUAUUUUCAGACAAUAAUUAGAAUAAGCUCCAAGAGAACAGAGACCUUGUCUAUCUCAUACAUUGAUAUCCCCAGAAUUUAGAACAGCUCAGUAUUUACUCAAUAAGUAUUUGUUGACUAAGUGACUGAAAUGAAUGAGUAAUUAAAGUAUAUUUAUAGGUGCCACAUUUUGUAAACUAUCACUUGGCAUAUCACAGAGAAUACUAAUAAAUGAAAACACAGAUUGGGAA
rnacentral:lncRNA from 1 species